rnacentral:rRNA from 1 species
AGAGUUUGAUCCUGGCUCAGGACGAACGCUGGCGGCGUGCCUAAUACAUGCAAGUCGAGCGAGCGGAACCAACAGAUUUACUUCGGUAAUGACGUUGGGAAAGCGAGCGGCGGAUGGGUGAGUAACACGUGGGGAACCUGCCCCUAAGUCUGGGAUACCAUUUGGAAACAGGUGCUAAUACCGGAUAAUAAAGCAGAUCGCAUGAUCAGCUUUUGAAAGGCGGCGUAAGUUGUCGCUAAGGGAUGGCCCCGCGGUGCAUUAGCUAGUUGGUAAGGUAACGGCUUACCAAGGCGACGAUGCAUAGCCGAGUUGAGAGACUGAUCGGCCACAUUGGGACUGAGACACGGCCCAAACUCCUACGGGAGGCAGCAGUAGGGAAUCUUCCACAAUGGACGCAAGUCUGAUGGAGCAACGCCGCGUGAGUGAAGAAGGUUUUCGGAUCGUAAAGCUCUGUUGUUGGUGAAGAAGGAUAGAGGUAGUAACUGGCCUUUAUUUGACGGUAAUCAACCAGAAAGUCACGGCUAACUACGUGCCAGCAGCCGCGGUAAUACGUAGGUGGCAAGCGUUGUCCGGAUUUAUUGGGCGUAAAGCGAGCGCAGGCGGAAAAAUAAGUCUAAUGUGAAAGCCCUCGGCUUAACCGAGGAACUGCAUCGGAAACUGUUUUUCUUGAGUGCAGAAGAGGAGAGUGGAACUCCAUGUGUAGCGGUGGAAUGCGUAGAUAUAUGGAAGAACACCAGUGGCGAAAGCGGCUCUCUGGUCUGCAACUGACGCUGAGCUCGAAAGCAUGGGUAGCGAACAGGAUUAGAUACCCUGGUAGUCCAUGCCGUAAACGAUGAGUGCUAAGUGUUGGGAGGUUUCCGCCUCUCAGUGCUGCAGCUAACGCAUUAAGCACUCCGCCUGGGGAGUACGACCGCAAGGUUGAAACUCAAAGGAAUUGACGG